AACUCGGCAAAAUGACCCCGUAACUUAGGGAUAAGGGGUGCCACCAUCAGGUGGCCGCAGAGAAUAGGCCCAAGCGACUGUUUACCAAAAACAUAGGUUUCUGCUAAGUCGCAAGACGAUGUAUAGGAGCUGACGCCUGCCCGGUGCUGGAAGGUUAAGGGGAUCUGUUAGAGUAAUCGAAGCAGUGAACUUAAGCCCCAGUAAACGGCGGCCGUAACUAUAACGGUCCUAAGGUAGCGAAAUUCCUUGUCGGGUAAGUUCCGACCCGCACGAAAGGCGUAACGAUUUGGGCACUGUCUCAACAACAGACUCGGUGAAAUUGUAAUUCCGGUGAAGAUGCCGGAUACCUGCGACAGGACGGAAAGACCCCAUGGAGCUUUACUGUAGCUUGACAUUGGGUCUUGGUACUACAUGUACAGGAUAGGUGGGAGGCUUUGAAACCAGGACGCCAGUUUUGGCGGAGCCAUCCUUGGGAUACCACCCUUGUAGUACUGGGACUCUAACCAUAGGCCAUGAAUCUGGUCUUGGGACACUGUCAGGUGGGCAGUUUGACUGGGGCGGUCGCCUCCCAAAAGGUAACGGAGGCGCUCAAAGGUUCUCUCAGUACGG
rnacentral:rRNA from 1 species